AAUAAAGAGAGAAAAUUCAAUUGAUAAUUUUUUGUGCUGGCCAUCAUCAUUAAAUGUAAUAAAUUGUUUCAAUGAAAUGCAUAAACCGCAUCUAAUUAAUACAGAUUUACGCUGCUCAAAAUUAAAUGUCAUGGAGAUAAUGAGCCACUACCAUGCUUAUGCAAGAGAAAACAUAAUAACCAACAAAAUAGUAAGCAAAUACUCACUCCUGUAAC